rnacentral:rRNA from 1 species
GACGAACGCUGGCGGCGUGCUUAACACAUGCAAGUCGAACGGUAAGGCCCUUCGGGGUACACGAGUGGCGAACGGGUGAGUAACACGUGGGUGAUCUGCCCUGCACUUCGGGAUAAGCCUGGGAAACUGGGUCUAAUACCGGAUAGGACCACUGCCUGAAUGGGUGGUGGUGGAAAGCUUUUGCGGUGUGGGAUGGGCCCGCGGCCUAUCAGCUUGUUGGUGGGGUGAUGGCCUACCAAGGCGACGACGGGUAGCCGGCCUGAGAGGGUGACCGGCCACACUGGGACUGAGAUACGGCCCAGACUCCUACGGGAGGCAGCAGUGGGGAAUAUUGCACAACGGGCGCAAGCCUGAUGCAGCGACGCCGCGUGAGGGAUGACGGCCUUCGGGUUGUAAACCUCUUUCAGCACCGACGAAGCGCAAGUGACGGUAGGUGCAGAAGAAGCACCGGCUAACUACGUGCCAGCAGCCGCUGUAA